AAACUUUUAAUACAUGAUGAUUCGUUUGAACAUGAUGGUGUUUAGGGACCAUCGCUACUUUUCAAAGCUUUUCAUUUAAAAGCUUUGUGUUUCCUUGCUCUUGCCACGUCCACUAAAGGACGUGGGCUUUAGGUGUUUAAAGCGUAAACUAACGCUCACACCUGUAACGUAAUAAAAGAUUGAGGUGUUUAAAGCGUAAACUAACGUUCACACCUAAAACGUAAUAAAAGAAUAAAAUAAUAUGUUAGUAGAAUUUAAAUUCAGAGAGGUGAAGACUCCUACCUUAGAAAACUUUUGAGAUUUUUUCUCUGGUCGAAACACAGUGAACUCCUCUCUCGAGCCGAAUUUUUAUCGGAAGCUCCCUCUCAAAUAUUUGUGAGUAAGUGAC
rnacentral:lncRNA from 1 species